UACAAUCAAGCAAGAUGAAGUUCGUCCUAGUUCUCGCAAUGCUGUUGGCCGUAGUCUGCGCAAUGCCAGCUCCCGAAGAGGACCUUACCUCUCAGUUGCUGGCCAUCCAGACCGCCAUCGAGAGCAACCCAGAGCUGGCCAAUGGAUGGUUGAGUACCGCGUGGAACUGGGUGAAGAACAACAAGGACACUAUCGGCCAGAUCGCCGGUGGCAUUCUGAGCUUGGGAUAAAUAAUUCAAACGACCCUAGAGAUUGCGCACUAUCUGGAUUUGUGCUUAAUUGAAACAAAUAUUUUGAUCACAAUAAAAUUCGAACUACUUCAA